GAUCUGGCUCAGGAUGAACGCUGGCGGCGUGCCUAACACAUGCAAGUCGAGGGGCAGCAUGAGAUUAGCUUGCUAAUCUUGAUGGCGACCGGCGCACGGGUGAGUAACGCGUAUCCAACCUUCCCUUAGUAGGGCAUAGCCCGGCGAAAGUCGGAUUAAUACCCUAUGUUUUUCCAAUGAGGACAUCUGAGCUGGAACAAAGAUUCAUCGCUAAGGGAUGGGGAUGCGUCUGAUUAGGUAGUCGGCGGGGUAACGGCCCACCGAGCCUACGAUCAGUAGGGGUUCUGAGAGGAAGGUCCCCCACAUUGGAACUGAGACACGGUCCAAACUCCUACGGGAGGCAGCAGUGAGGAAUAUUGGUCAAUGGACGAGAGUCUGAACCAGCCAAGUAGCCGUGCAGGAUGACGGCCCUAUGGGUUGUAAACUGCUUUUAUCAGGGGAUAAAGUGAGGGACGUGUCCCUUUUUGUAGGUACCUGAUGAAUAAGGACCGGCUAAUUCCGUGCCAGCCGCCGC
rnacentral:rRNA from 1 species